ensembl:lncRNA
GAUUUUCAAGAACUACAUUAGUCUAUAGCAGCAGAAAGUCAGAGCCCCAGGAUGAUGAGAAAACUCUUCACUCUGCGUAAAAACAUAUUCCGCAGAGCCAGUGAGGAUGAACAGGAUAUGGAAAACCUUGCAAACUCUUCCGAGAGUAACUCUGGGAAGCUCGAGGACAAGGCAUCCACUCCCAAGGUCAGGGGUGUGUCAUUUACACCUUCGCACUUCUUGAAUGUUUCACCGGUUGUCCUUUCAUUGCUUCAGCAUCUAAAUGAUGAGGAAUGGGACAGAAUUGAGGAAAGCAUGCACAGCUCUAUGACAAGAAGUCGGUUCACUACACUGUGCACAGACAUCGUAGGAUGGGUGUCAGAAGCAGCCACAAGAAUCAUCUUACCGGCACUUGCUCUUGUGCUGGAUGUCACCAUCACUGAGAGCAGUUCUUCCUCGCCUAUAUCAAGCAAACUGGCAAGACGUUCCAGUUCAAAGGAGUCUUGCGAUGAAAAAACCACAACAAGCAUUUUCAACGCAGAGGCAGAGACUCCAGUCUCAGGAGCUGAACGGACUGCUAGCAAUAUUGUAGACAUUGUCCUGCACUGGAUUAGUGAAGAUGUAGAGCAGAUUUCACCUGCUGCUCCCAGAAUGUGUAAAUCAGGUUCAGAUCUGAGGUUUGAUAUGCUGCUCUCUAAAGAAAACAUUCAAAUGUUGUCACCGCAGCUUGUUGGCAGAGUGCACCGCCUCAUAAUGGAGGACAACAGUGCCCUCCCUGUCAUUACAUUAGCAGCACGCAGAGUCAACUCUGAUUCGGCAGUUUCGAAGGGACGAGGUGGAAGGUUGGAGCUCGCCAGGGAAGCUUUCUCUGAGUUAGUUUACAUAUUCACGGAGAAAUGUGUGAGGAAGCUGUUGCAGGAAUGCCUCUACUGUCUUCCUCAUCCUCCUCACUCCGAUAAUUUUGAAGAUGUAGUUUGUACCACUCCUGUAACUUCCAGCAGUCUGGUGCAGGUCAUGCCAAGUCUACCAUUUCAGAGUGACAUUUCAGCCAUUCCCAGUGGACAAAGCCCCAAAAAAAUUUCAACAACGUCUGCAAGUUCAAGCACUCUCAUACAGGUUAUGCCAAGUCCAGCAUCUCAGAAUGAAUUUUCGAACCUCCACGUUGGACAAAGCACCCAGAAAGCCUCAAAGCCCUCCUUAGAACUCAGCAGUCCAAGCAUAGAAUCAUUAAUUACAGUUAUGGCCCAAGAAGUGAUGAAACUACUUCCAGAGAAGAUAGAUGACUGUAACCAAGUUUGGGAGUUCCUUGAGACUAAAGACAUCUGUGAGUCCACACCUCUUUCAUCAGCUGUAAAAUAUUCUGGUGUCAAUAACACAAAGGCCACAAACCACAGAUCUAGCAGUGGCUCUAAGGUUGAGGUGGACCCCAUAUCUGGGUCUGAGGCAGGACUGAAGAACGGGAAGAAAUUCUAAAAGCAGUGGAGUGAACGUGACCUAUGUUUCUUCAUCGAGCCAAUGGAAAGCAGUUAAACCACACCCAAUUAAAAAAAGUGUGGAACAACAGGUGUGUUGCUGCCAAGGAUAUGAAAAUAAGGAUAAUAAAGGAAGUUUAAAGUGCCA